UUAUUUGACGUUACCUACAGAAGAAGCACCGGCUAACUCCCGUGCCAGCAGCCGCGGUAAUACGGAGGGUGCGAGCGUUAAUCGGAAUUACUGGGCGUAAAAGCGCAUGCAGGCGGCCUGUUAAGUCAGAUGUGAAAGCCCGGGGCUUAACCUCGGAAUUGCAUUUUGAAACUGGCAGACUAGAGUACUGUAGAGGGGGUAGAAUUUCAGGUGUAGCGGUGAAAUGCGUAGAGAUCUGAAGGAAUACCGGUGGCGAAGGCGGCCCCCUGGACAGAUACUGACACUCAGAUGCGAAAGCGUGGGGAGCAAACAGGAUUAGAUACCCCUGGUAG
rnacentral:rRNA from 1 species